AUCAUCAUCAUCAUCAUCGUCGUCGUCGUUCGGUGAUUAAUUAUGGAAAACAAAACAAAACAAAACAAACGAACGAAUGAACGAUUUUUGUGAUGUAUGAUAAAACACCGUUUGGAAAAUGGGGAAAAAAAUUAAUAGAGCGAAACAAUUGAAGUGCAGAAGAAGUAAACAAGAAGUAAAAAAAAAAGAAAAAAAAAAUAUGAAAUCAAAUCAAAUGAUCCAGUUUGUUUUGUUUUUUUUUGCUACACCUACACACACACACACACACAGUUGCUACAUCCAUUUUAUCAAUUGUUGAUCUAUGUCCCGAUAUAUAUCCAUCCAUCAACCCAUUGAUUCAACCAGCUUGAACUGGAAUAUGUAGCGGGAUAAUUUGAAAUUUUUUUUUGUUUGUUUCGUUUAAAAACAUUGUCAUUGAGUCUAUGGCUGUUAAUUAUCCUAAACAGGCUUGUAAUAUAAUUUUUUAUCUUAUGACAGAGCUCCACUUUGCAAAACAAAAACUGGAUUAUUAUUGAUCGAAUACAACAUCUUUAACCAUGGCCUAUAAAUAUUUUGAACAGAAAAAAAAAUCAUCAUCAUAAUGAACUACCUGGACAACAAAAUUGUCAUCGAUCAUCCGAUUGUAUGAGAUUGUAAAAUUGGAAAACAAAAAUCCAUAGAAUAUGAGAAUCGAAAAUCAAAAUU